rnacentral:rRNA from 1 species
GUAGGGAAUAUUGGGCAAUGGGCGAGAGCCUGACCCAGCCAUGCCGCGUGCAGGAAGAAGGCUUUCUGAGUCGUAAACUGCUUUUGACAGGGAAGAAUAACCAGUACGUGUACUGGGAUGACGGUACCUGCAGAAUAAGCACCGGCUAACUCCGUGCCAGCAGCCGCGGUAAUACGGAGGGUGCGAGCGUUGUCCGGAUUUAUUGGGUUUAAAGGGUGCGUAGGCGGCCGUUUAAGUCCGGGGUGAAAGCCCGCUGCUCAACAGCGGAACUGCCCUGGAUACUGGACGGCUUGAGUACAGACGAGGUUGGCGGAAUGGACCGAGUAGCGGUGAAAUGCAUAGAUACGGUCCAGAACCCCGAUUGCGAAGGCAGCUGACUAGGCUGUUACUGACGCUGAGGCACGACAGCGUGGGGAGCGAACAGG